GGGCCUCUCUUGAAUGGCCGACAAUCUCCUUCACCCAUGUGCCCUCUGUUGUAGCCUCCUUGUCGAGAUCUCCACUACUGGAGUCUCCUCUAUCAAGAUCUCCCUCAUCGAAAUCUCCUUCGAUAAGACUUCCAUCACAACCUCCAGCAUGGGAACCAUAGAUUCAGUGACUAAAGGGGGAUUCACAUCUCCCACGACUGUAGAAGUUGAUUCGAUGGUCGGAGCCCUGACAUCACUACCCGUCGAAGUCGGAAGACC
rnacentral:lncRNA from 1 species